AGAGCUGACAUCUGAGCCGUAAGUCUGAAGGGCCAAGCAAAGCAUCUGAUAGGGAAGUCUCUUGAAUUUUCUAUAGCCACAGAGAACAUCACAUUUUCUCCAAGUUUUUCAGUAUUGCUUGGGCCAAA